AUACGGAGGGUGCAAGCGUUACUCGGAAUCACUGGGCGUAAAGCGCGCGCAGGCGGCUAUUUAAGUUGGAUGUGAAAGCCCACGGCUCAACCGUAGAACUGCAUCCAAAACUAUUUAGCUAGAGUGUGGGAGAGGAAGAUGGAAUUAGUUGUGUAGGGGUAAAAUCCGUAGAUAUAACUAGGAAUACCAAAAGCGAAGGCAAUCUUCUGGAACACUACUGACGCUGAGGCGCGAAAGCGUGGGGAGCAAACGGGAUUAGAAACCCUAGUAGUCC
rnacentral:rRNA from 1 species